rnacentral:rRNA from 1 species
CCUACGGGAGGCAGCAGUGGGGAAUUUUGGACAAUGGGCGCAAGCCUGAUCCAGCAAUGCCGCGUGAGUGAAGAAGGCCUUCGGGUUGUAAAGCUCUUUUGUCAGGGAAGAAACGGUGAGAGCUAAUAUCUCUUGCUAAUGACGGUACCUGAAGAAUAAGCACCGGCUAACUACGUGCCAGCAGCCGCGGUAAUACGUAGGGUGCAAGCGUUAAUCGGAAUUACUGGGCGUAAAGCGUGCGCAGGCGGUUUUGUAAGUCUGUCGUGAAAUCCCCGGGCUCAACCUGGGAAUUGCGAUGGAGACUGCAAGGCUAGAAUCUGGCAGAGGGGGGUAGAAUUCCACGUGUAGCAGUGAAAUGCGUAGAGAUGUGGAGGAACACCGAUGGCGAAGGCAGCCCCCUGGGUCAAGAUUGACGCUCAUGCACGAAAGCGUGGGGAGCAAACAGGAUUAGAUACCCUGGUAGUCCACGCCCUAAACGAUGUCUACUAGUUGUCGGGUUUUAAUAACUUGGUAACGCAGCUAACGCGUGAAGUAGACCGCCUGGGGAGUACGGUCGCAAGAUUAAAACCGUUAAAGGAAUUGACGGCUGAGAGNGCGAGACGACGACGAGGGAGGAGG